UACGUAGGGCGCAAGCGUUGUCCGGAAUUAUUGGGCGUAAAGAGCUCGUAGGCGGCUUGUCACGUCUGCUGUGAAAUCCCGGAGCUCAACUCCGGAAUGGCCUCCGAUACUGCCGUGCUCGAGGACUGGAGAGGAGUCUGGAAUUCACAGUGGAGCAGUGAAAUGCGUAGAUAUUGUGAGGAACACUAGUGGCGAAGGCGAGACUCUGGACAGUUCCUGACGCUGAGGCACGAAGGCCAGGGGAGCAAACGGG
rnacentral:rRNA from 1 species